AUACGGAGGGUGCAAGCGUUACUCGGAAUCACUGGGCGUAAAGCGCGCGCAGGCGGGCUUUUAAGUUGGAUGUGAAAGCCUACGGCUCAACCGUAGAACUGCAUCCAAAACUAUUAGACUAGAGUGUGGGAGAGGAAGAUGGAAUUAGUUGUGUAGGGGUAAAAUCCGUAGAGAUAACUAGGAAUACCAAAAGCGAAGGCAAUCUUCUGGAACACUACUGACGCUGAGGCGCGAAAGCGUGGGGAGCAAACAGGAUUAGAAACCCUAGUAGUCC
rnacentral:rRNA from 1 species